AUGAGUAUGCCCACUCAGCACUAAGGUUGUUGAUGCUGUGGCUUACAGAUGCCAGAUGUGACAUCCAGUUGACUCACUCUCCAGCCUCCCUGUCUUUGUCUGUGAGAGAAAGCAUCAUAGUCAGAUGUCUAAAAAGUGAGAAAAUUUAUAGUGAAUUACAUUGGUAUCAGCAGAAACAGGGAAAAUCUUCUCAGCUCCUGAUCUACAGUACAACCAGCUUGGCAGAUGAUGUGCCAUCACGGUUCAGUGGCAGCGGAUCUGGUACACAAUAUUCUCUGAGUGAGGGCAAUCCUGCCAGUUUCUAGGAGAGUAAGAAAACUGCAAAAAUGUGAGAAGAAAACU